AGAGUUUGAUCCUGGCUCAGAUUGAACGCUGGCGGCAUGCUUUACACAUGCAAGUCGGACGGCAGCACAGAGAAGCUUGCUUCUUGGGUGGCGAGUGGCGAACGGGUGAGUAAUGCAUCGGAACGUACCGAGUAGUGGGGGAUAACUGUCCGAAAGGAUGGCUAAUACCGCAUACGCUUUGAGAAGGAAAGCAGGGGCUCUUCGGACCUUGCGCUAUUCGAGCGGCCGAUGUCUGAUUAGCUGGUUGGUGGGGUAAAGGCCUACCAAGGCGACGAUCAGUAGCGGGUCUGAGAGGAUGAUCCGCCACACUGGGACUGAGACACGGCCCAGACUCCUACGGGAGGCAGCAGUGGGGAAUUUUGGACAAUGGGCGCAAGCCUGAUCCAGCCAUGCCGCGUGUCUGAAGAAGGCCUUCGGGUUGUAAAGGACUUUUGUCAGGGAAGAAAAGGUUGUGGUUAAUACCCAUGACUGAUGACGGUACCUGAAGAAUAAGCACCGGCUAACUACGUGCCAGCAGCCGCGGUAAUACGUAGGGUGCGAGCGUUAAUCGGAAUUACUGGGCGUAAAGCGGGCGCAGACGGUUACUUAAGUCAGAUGUGAAAUCCCCGGGCUCAACCUGGGAACUGCGUUUGAAACUGGGUGACUAGAGUAUGUCAGAGGGGGGUAGAAUUCCACGUGUAGCAGUGAAAUGCGUAGAGAUGUGGAGGAAUACCGAUGGCGAAGGCAGCCCCCUGGGAUAAUACUGACGUUCAUGCCCGAAAGCGUGGGUAGCAAACAGGAUUAGAUACCCUGGUAGUCCACGCCCUAAACGAUGUCAAUUAGCUGUUGGGCAACUUGAUUGCUUAGUAGCGUAGCUAACGCGUGAAAUUGACCGCCUGGGGAGUACGGUCGCAAGAUUAAAACUCAAAGGAAUUGACGGGGACCCGCACAAGCGGUGGAUGAUGUGGAUUAAUUCGAUGCAACGCGAAGAACCUUACCUGGUCUUGACAUGUACGGAAUCCUCCAGAGACGGAGGAGUGCCUUCGGGAGCCGUAACACAGGUGCUGCAUGGCUGUCGUCAGCUCGUGUCGUGAGAUGUUGGGUUAAGUCCCGCAACGAGCGCAACCCUUGUCAUUAGUUGCCAUCAUUUGGUUGGGCACUCUAAUGAGACUGCCGGUGACAAGCCGGAGGAAGGUGGGGAUGACGUCAAGUCCUCAUGGCCCUUAUGACCAGGGCUUCACACGUCAUACAAUGGUCGGUACAGAGGGUAGCCAAGCCGCGAGGUGGAGCCAAUCCCACAAAACCGAUCGUAGUCCGGAUUGCACUCUGCAACUCGAGUGCAUGAAGUCGGAAUCGCUAGUAAUCGCAGGUCAGCAUACUGCGGUGAAUACGUUCCCGGGUCUUGUACACACCGCCCGUCACACCAUGGGAGUGGGGGAUACCAGAAGUAGGUAGGGUAACCGCAAGGAGCCCGCUUACCACGGUAUGCUUCAUGACUGGGGUGAAGUCGUAACAAGGUAGCCGUAGGGGAACCUGCGGCUGGAUCACCU
rnacentral:rRNA from 1 species